rnacentral:rRNA from 1 species
ACCCAAUAGAUACCCAGGUAGUCCACGCCGUAAACGGUGAGUGCUCGUCGUCGUGGGUAUUGACCCCUGCGGUGACCAAAGUUAAACACAUGAAGCACUCCGCCUGGGAAGUACGGUCGCAAGACUAAAACUCAAAGAAAUUGACGGGGGCCCGCACAAGCGGUGGAGCAUGUUGUUUAAAUUCGAAGCAACGCGCAGAACCUUACCUGGAUUUGACAUCUCCGGAAUCUUCCUGAAAGGGAAGAGUGCCUUCGGGAACCGGAAGACAGGUGCUGCAUGGCUGUCGUCAGCUCGUGUCGUGAGGUGUUGGGUUAAGUCCCGCAACGAGCGCAACCCCUAUCGUUAGUUGCUAGCAGUUCGGCUGAGCACUCUAGCGAGACUGCCGGUGUUAAACCGGAGGAAGGUGGGGAUGACGUCAAGUCCUCAUGGCCUUUAUGUCCAGGGCUACUAACGUGCUACAAUGGUCGGUACAGAGGGCUGCGAGCCCGCGAGGGUUAGCCAAUCCCAUAAAGCCGGCCUCAGUUCGGAUUGAAGUCUGCAAUUCGAC